GAUGAACGCUGGCGGCGUGCCUAAUACAUGCAAGUCGAGCGAACAGAUGAGGAGCUUGCUCCUCUGACGUCAGCGGCGGACGGGUGAGUAACACGUGGAUAACCUACCUAUAAGACUGGGAUAACUUCGGGAAACCGGAGCUAAUACCGGAUAAUAUAUUGAACCGCAUGGUUCAAUAGUGAAAGACGGUUUUGCUGUCACUUAUAGAUGGAUCCGCGCCGCAUUAGCUAGUUGGUAAGGUAACGGCUUACCAAGGCAACGAUGCGUAGCCGACCUGAGAGGGUGAUCGGCCACACUGGAACUGAGACACGGUCCAGACUCCUACGGGAGGCAGCAGUAGGGAAUCUUCCGCAAUGGGCGAAAGCCUGACGGAGCAACGCCGCGUGAGUGAUGAAGGUCUUCGGAUCGUAAAACUCUAUUAUUAGGGAAGAACAAAUGUGUAAGUAACUAUGCACGUCUUGACGGUACCUAAUCAGAAAGCCACGGCUAACUACGUG
rnacentral:rRNA from 1 species